AAAGAAAGCGUAAUAGCUCACUGGUCGAGUCGGCCUGCGCGGAAGAUGUAACGGGGCUAAACCAUGCACCGAAGCUGCGGCAGCGACGCUUAUGCGUUGUUGGGUAGGGGAGCGUUCUGUAAGCCUGCGAAGGUGUGCUGUGAGGCAUGCUGGAGGUAUCAGAAGUGCGAAUGCUGACAUAAGUAACGAUAAAGCGGGUGAAAAGCCCGCUCGCCGGAAGACCAAGGGUUCCUGUCCAACGUUAAUCGGGGCAGG
rnacentral:rRNA from 2 species